UACGUAGGGUGCAAGCGUUGUCCGGAAUUAUUGGGCGUAAAGAGCUCGUAGGCGGUCUGUCGCGUCGGCUGUGAAACCUAGGGCUCAACCCUGGGCCUGCAGCCGAUACGGGCAGACUAGAAUUCGGUAGGGGAGACUGGAAUUCCUGGUGUAGCGGUGAAAUGCGCAGAUAUCAGGAGGAACACCGGUGGCGAAGGCGGGUCUCUGGGCCGAUAUUGACGCUGGAGGAGCGAAAGCGUGGGGAGCAAACAGG
rnacentral:rRNA from 1 species